rnacentral:rRNA from 1 species
AGAGUUUGAUCCUGGCUCAGAAUGAACGUUGGCGGCGUGGAUUAGGCAUGCAAGUCGAACGAGAUCUGUAGCAAUACAGUGAAAGUGGCGAAAGGGAGAGUAAUACGUAGGUACCUGCCCUCGGGUCUGGGAUAGCUGCGGGAAACUGCAAUUAAUACCGGAUGACGUCUCUGGGCCAAAGGUGUGAUUCCGCCAGGGGAUGGGCCUGCGUCCUACCAGCUAGUUGGUGUGGUAACGGCGCACCAAGGCAAAGACGGGUACGAGGUGUGAGAGCAUGCCCCCGCUCACUGGGACUGAGAUACUGCCCAGACACCUACGGGUGGCUGCAGUCGAGAACCUUCCGCAAUGGGCGCAAGCCUGACGGAGCGACGCCGCGUGUGGGAUGAAGGCCUUCGGGUUGUAAACCACUGUCAGUGGGGAGCAAGUGCAUCAGGGUUCUCCCUGGUGUUUGAGCGAUCCGCAGAGGAAGCACAGGCUAAUUCCGUGCCAGCAGCCGCGGUAAUACGGAAUGUGCAAACGUUAUUCGGAAUCACUGGGCUUAAAGAGUCCGUAGGCGGCUUGUUAGGUGAGGUGUGAAAUCCCUCGGCCCAACCGAGGAACUGCGCUUCAAACCGGCAAGCUUGAGGAGGAUAGAGGUGGACGGAACUGAUGGUGGAGCGGUGAAAUGCGUUGAUAUCAUCAGGAACACCGGAGGCGAAUGCGGUCCACUGGGUCCUUUCUGACGCUGAGGGACGAAAGCUAGGGGAGCGAACGGGAUUAGAUACCCCGGUAGUCCUAGCCAUAAACGAUGAGCACUAGACCGAAGAAUCUCCACGAUUUUUUGGUCGUAGCGAAAGUGUUAAGUGCUCCGCCUGGGGAGUAUGGUCGCAAGGCUGAAACUCAAAGGAAUUGACGG